GAUGGUUAAAAUCCAUCCUUUAUUA
rnacentral:tRNA from 1 species